GGAUCUCUUAAAGCCGUUCUCAGUUCGGACUGUAGGCUGCAACUCGCCUACACGAAGCUGGAAUCGCUAGUAAUCGCGGAUCAGCACGCCGCGGUGAAUACGUUCCCGGGCCUUGUACACACCGCCCGUCACACCAUGAGAGUCUGUAACACCCAAAGCCGGGUGGGAUAACCGCAAGGAGGACGCCGCCGAAGGUGGGGUUNAUGAUUAGGGUUAAGUCGUAACAAGGUAAC
rnacentral:rRNA from 1 species